CUGGACGUCCUUCCCCAGCAGCCAGUUGAGCUCCAGGUUGCCCUCGCCCUGGUAGCAGGACUGCAGGCGGUACUUGAUCUACUCUGUGCUUUUACGUGAAGCUGAGUGGCUGCACCUUGCCCCAGAGGGAGAGAGAAGGAAGGUAAGGGGAGGCAGAAGAAAACGGGCUGCCUCUGUGCCCCCUUGGCACCCUUCUCCUGAGAAGGGGAGCCAGAUGAGACUGUGGACCCCCGGCACAUGUCAACACAACUCUUGGUGACCAUUUCUAUCCCGUUGCCUUUUUUCACUGUGAGAAGAGAGAUCCCCUGCUUAUCUCUACACGCAAUCCCUUUUACAAAACCUGUUUUCUCAGCUAUAAAAGGAUGCCUCGCAGGGUUGAGGUGAGAAGCAACAAGACAAUGGUUGUGAAAUGUUUCUGUAAACUCUACAGCUCGGAAUAAACACCGAUUACUCGAGUUUCUGUUUUCUGGAGAAACAGUGUACAAGGGCAUCAUCUCCUUGGCAGUCACAGCUGCCCUGUGUGAUGGCAACAAAGGCUGAGCCAGUUUCACCCAGGUGAGGGGUGAUUCUGUGUCACCACGUUCCCCAACUCCCAGCUCCUAAGAGAGGCCGAGAAGGCACUGGGUGCAGCUGGUCCCCAGUAGCCUCUUUCCCUAGUCCCUUUGGCCCCACACUGCCCAGAUUACCACCCAACAACUCUCAUAGCCUUGAGGGUGAUUGAAUGGUCACUUGUUCUGCUCUUGGUGGGUUCAUCCAGGAACCCUUGGCAGGAAAGAAGGAGAGGAAAGCCUUCCCGUGGGAGGAGGAGGAGAUGCUGAAAAGUUUCAUAGGCUAGAGAUCCAUAUCCCUUGGUCUGUAUUCAUACUGGUCUGGCCAUUGAGUUGGAAGAAAUUCCUCUCCUUUAUCCGUCCCUGCUUCUCCUUCUCUCCUGUGCUUUCCUGAACUGACAGCCGAGACUCUGAAUAAAAAGCUGUAACUCCCUUUUUAUGAGGAAGCUUUUUAAGCAGGCUGCGUCCCUACCCUGUGCCUUCCCACCUUCAGUUUCUAUUAUUUGUCUCUCUUUGUCUGAAACUUUGAGCUCCUGCAGAAAGAUCCUCAGCUGUCAGGCAGCCUCUCUUAAGUAACAGGCGAGCUCAUAGUCACACACUCUAGCUAGCAGGGGAAGCGCUGGGGAGCUGGAUAAAAGGGACAUGUGCAGACUGGGAAGUGGUAGGCAUUCCGGGCAGAGGGGCGGAAGUCUGUCCACGUAAGGGACUUGUCUGUGCCAAGAUGCACGCACACUCCACUCAACUGGGGGACACUUAACACCUGGGUGGCAUCGGCCCCUGGGUGAGCGUGCAGAGAAGAGACUUUUGAGACCCUUGAGGCCCUAUCAACCAGAUGUCGAGGACCCCAGCCCCACUGCGGAGGGAAAGUGAAGGGAGCAAUUAUCUGAGGCUGACGCAGGGAGAAGAAUGUGCUGGAGGGAGAGCAGGGGGAAGGCAGGCAGGCAGGCCAGUGCAGCACGGAGACCUGGGGCAGAGAGAUGAAAAGAGCUUCCUGAGUGAGAAUCUGGCCCUGUGAUGAAUGGGGUGUGAGAGAAGAGUCUGGAAAGGGGUAAACAGCCAGGAGGGACGCAGGAGGGAGGGGGGCUGAGGAGAAAGAAUGCUGAGGUCAAAGAGCAAAGCAUGCUCCUGGAAUGAUUGAAUCAAGAUCCAGCAUGCUGCACACAUGGAUGGGACGGGAUGGGUGCUCAUGUGCACCCAGACAUGUGGCCCGGUCUCCUCCCCUCCCCCUGCCAAGGUGUGAGCGAGUUAGCUUUGCUCCCAGACCCAUUCCAUGCCCCCUGCAAAACUUCUCCUGUGAUGGUUUGUUCUGAGGUCCCAAGGGACCCCACUGUAAUAUAAAGUAGUAUGUGUGCCGUGACUAAGUUUUACUGUUCACUAAGAAUUUCGUGUCUGUUACCUCAUUAAUGUACCCCUCACGCAAGCCUGUGAGGGACAGAUUAGCAUCAGCAUCGCCAUUUCACAGGUGGGAAGACUUGCAUGUAUUGGAGGUGAAGUAUUUUGUCCAAGGUCCCACAUGGGGAACUAGACUUGGAUAUAGGCUCCUGGAGUCAAACACGUCACCCUACUUCUCUGUGGCCUGGGUCUGUAGGUGCCACCACUUGGUAUGCCCAAGGAGAGAUCACUUACUCCAGCGGUUCCUCCCUGCCUCCAGGAGGCAACGCUGCCCACACUCAGGGAUAUACCAUUACCACUCUUUGGGAACGGGGCAGGGUAUUAGGAGCUCAACUCAGAGUUGAGUCCUUGGGGAUCCCUGUGAAAGAGGAAAAGGCCUGGUGCUGGAAGCUUGUGGCCAGCCACCAACUGCCAUUUGGCUCCCAUCCAGACCUGGCUGGUGGGAAGGAGGGCUGGGGAAGGCUGGGGAAGGGCUGAGGGCUGGAGCUGGCCCCCGCGUGGCCCUGGUGGUGGCAGAUGGAAAGAGUCCAGAAGCAGGACUUUGUAGGCAGAGAGGCUGGGGUGCCGAAGUCCCCUCCCUAACUAACCUGCUGUUUUCUGUGGGGUAGAGAACUAGCUGCCCACUGCUCCUCUGAAGACCAUUUCCACAGCCCCUGCGGCUGAUCCCAGAGCACAGGCAGCUCCUACUGCCGUCUUUCUCUCCCCCACUCACAUUCUCCCAGCUACCCUGGCCCUGCUGCUCUUCAAUUUCCAACCCUGGCAGAUCACUGAUUAAUUCAAGGCUGUUUAAUAACCCUUCUAUUUCGAUGAAACAAGCUGUCUUGUUUUCUUUAUUUUUAACACCGACUUUCGACUUUCGUUUCUUUGCUAAGCAUCUUACUGUCAUUUAAAUUUCUCUGUCUCCAACCAAGCUGAUAAUAGACUGGAGUGAGCAGCUGCUUCCAUCCCGUUUAUGACAAUGAUUAGAAGUUAGAGCUGUGCAGAGGGCUGACCAAGUCCCGGUUCAGAGGGGUCUGCCCCUGCUUGUAGAGGGAGGGCUCGUUUUAACUCGAUUAGGAGCAUUCCGGCUCCAGGGGAGACCAGGGCUUACUCUAGCCUAACCUUCCUGGCACCCUGCUCCCAGGGGAGUGGUGAGGGUGAAGGUGUGAGAGCAGCUCUAUUUACCGUGGAAUUAAGGCCAGCAGCCGAGAACCUGACACUCUCAACUUCCCUUCUCAACUUUUUCUGCCUUGAAUUUCCUGAGUAGCAAACAGGGAGACUCGAGGUUAGAAGAUCCGGAGGUGGGUGGUGAUCUCAGCCGUCAGCUGUAUACCUUUCUGUGCCACAAAGGAAUCCCUUCUUGAGACCCUGUCGACAGCUUCCAACCAACCUCUGCCUGAAUUCUCCAGAUGACUGUGGAUGGAGCGCGUUCCCUUCCCCGAUGGCCCUUUCUAGGGCUGGGUGGCUCUGGUUAAUUUCUCUUCUGUCCUGGGUACUUCUACUUGACCUGUGUGACAAUUAUUUGUGUGCAGACCCUUCCUUCCUUGGCACACUGUAAGCUCCUCAAGAUCCAGCAUAGUGACUUGCCUCCCUCCCUUAAUACUUGGUGCAUAGUAAAUAUUCUAUAAAUAUUUGUUCAAUCACAUAAGACAACAUUCAAAAAUCUCCUUGUAAGCACUGUGUCCUUCUUCUACCUGGGCAGGCUCCUGGGGAAGCUUCCCAUGUUCCUCUGUCUGGACUAGUGUUCUGCCUCUUCCUGCCCUCGGGCAAGAAAUGGCU